rnacentral:tRNA from 1 species
ACUUAUUUAGUAUAAAAAGUAUAUUUGACUUCCAAUCAGAAGGUCUGAAUACCCUCAGAAUAAGUA